AAUUUGCACUAUGUACGUAUAGUAUGCACGUACUUGAUUAUAAGAAUUCAAUCACUGGGUAUGUUACAUUUCACAAUUGGUGUACCUAAUUGUUUUUAAAGUUGAAAUAGAAAGAAUAGAUAGGUACGUGCCGUAGAUUUAUCACUUCAUAUAGGUACUCACCAUUUCAUCACAAUUCUUUGUACCUACACAGAAGUAAAAGAAAAACCAAGCAUGAGUAAAAUUACAAUUUUUGCGAUCAGUAUACUGAUUCUGUAUGUUAUUGCAGUAGUUCCAGGAAUCGAAUCUGGAAGAAUCCGCAAACGUGAUUUACGGCGCACCAAUAGAUACGAUAAUACUGAAAGAUAUAAUGACGAUCGAUAUACUACCCUUAGAUAUGGUAGAUAUGAUACUACCCGUAGAUACGACGACUAUACUACCCGUAGAUAUGGUAGAUAUGAUACUACCCGUAGAUACGACGACUAUACUACCCGUAGAUACGAUGGAUAUACUACCCGUAGAUACGAUGGAUAUACUACCCGUAGAUAUCAUAGGUACCGGUAGGUAUAAUGCUGUACUGGAAGAUCGAAAGAUAGAAUACCGAUAGAUAAUAUAGGAGGUACUUACUGAUAGAUACGAAAGAACUAGGUACCCCAAUGGAUGAUCCCUCACACACUACCACUCCCUAAAUUUGAAACAGUGAAAUUUCACUGUUUCAAAUUUAGAGAGCACCUACCUACCAAACCUUGAACCUAUCCACCAACUUACAUUCCUGAUGAAAUUCACACUACUGAUUUGAGCACACCCUACUCACCGACUCGUUACUUACUUACAUUCCUGAUGAAAUUCAUACCAUUGAUUUGAGCACACCCUCCCCAAAGUCUAGGGAAGUUAGUCCUGAAGAAUUGAAGAGAACAAAGAAAGAACGUCGUAACUUCAAUUUUUUCAAUUUCUUUUUCUCAAUGUGAUUUUGUUCGUUAAGCAUAAGCUGUUUCAUUUACUUAGUUUCAGUAAAUAAUUCUAUUUACAUUA